UCCAAAGAGUAGCUUUGCUAAAAGGAUUUUAUGUGCAUCUAUUGCCAAGGGGAGGAAAAAAAAAUUCCAUGCUUAGAUGAGCCUAUGUUUUAUGACAAUGGAUUUGUUCCAAAACCUGCUGUGUAGUCAGGAAUUUAAGUGUUUAAAUUGUUAGCUUUAUGCUUGUUUUCCUUCACAUUAGUUGUUGGACUCGGGCAAAUGUUUCUCAUAGGUCGUGGAUGCGUGGAUAAUGACUUAUAUGACAAU
rnacentral:misc_RNA from 1 species